AUUGAACGCUGGCGGCAGGCCUAACACAUGCAAGUCGAACGAGUGGCGGACGGGUGAGUAAUGUCUGGGAAACUGCCCGAUGGAGGGGGAUAACAACUGGAAACGGUAGCUAAUACCGCAUACCAUCGGAUGUGCCCAGAUGGGAUUAGCUAGUAGGUGGGGUAAAGGCUCACCUAGGCGACGAUCCCUAGCUGGUCUGAGAGGAUGCCCAGCCCCACGGGAACGGAGACACGGUCCAGACCCCUACGGGAGGCACCGGUGGGGAAUAUUGCACAAGGGGCGCAAUCCUGAUGCAGCCAUGCCGCGGGUAUGAAGAGGGCCUUCGGGUUGGAAAGUACGUUCAGCGGGGAGGCGUUACCCUCAGAAGAAGCACCGGCUAACUCCGUGCCAGCAGCCGCGGUAAUUC
rnacentral:rRNA from 1 species